UACAGAGGGUGCGAGCGUUAAUCGGAAUUACUGGGCGUAAAGCGCGCGUAGGCGGCUUCGCAAGUCGGGUGUGAAAUCCCCAGGCUUAACCUGGGAACUGCAUUCGAGACUGCAUUGCUAGAGUAUGGGAGAGGGAAGUGGAAUUUCCGGUGUAGCGGUGAAAUGCGUAGAUAUCGGAAGGAACAUCAGUGGCGAAGGCGAAUCUCUGGACAGUUACUGACACUGAGGCACGAAGGCCAGGGGAGCAAACGGG
rnacentral:rRNA from 1 species